GACGAACGCUGGCGGCGUGCCUAAUACAUGCAAGUAGAACGCUGAAGGCGGAGCUUGCUCUUCUGGAUGAGUUGCGAACGGGUGAGUAACGCGUAGGUAACCUGCCUGGUAGCGGGGGAUAACUAUUGGAAACGAUAGCUAAUACCGCAUAACAGUAGAUGUUGCAUGACAUUUACUUAAAAGGUGCACUUGCAUCACUACCAGAUGGCCCUGCGUUGUAUUAGCUAGGUGGGGGGGUAACGGCUCACCAAGGGGACGAUACAUAGCCGACCUGAGAGGGGGCGCUGCCACGCUGGGACGGGAGCACGGCCCAGACUCCUACGAGUGGGAGAAGUAGGGGACCUUCGGGGAUGGACGGAGGUCUGACCGAGGAACGCCGCGUGAGUGAAUAAGGUUGUCGGGUCGUGAAGGUCUGUUGUAAGAGAGGAACGAGAGGGAGAGUGGAAAGUUCACACAGUGACGGUAUCUGACCAAGAAGCGACGGCUAACUACGUG
rnacentral:rRNA from 1 species